GUGAGACCAUAGUUAUGCACAAGUUGAACAUAUUGUAGGAGUUUGAUUAUAUAAAAUCAUUUCAUGAUGGAUAAUGAGAGUUUAUGACUCACAAUAAAUAGCCAAAUAGAUUAGGAAUUAUGCAUUCACACCACAUGUUUCAAAAAGAGGCUUCCCAAGCUUGCGACCUAAAGUUUGUUUAUCAAUUGGUAGAAUAUUUUUUGUUAGUUUUGUUAAGACCUAGAUUUCGUAUCCAAAAACCCACUUGGUGGUAAAGCUCCAACCUAAGAGUAUCCAUCCAAUAUCAUAUGCAUUGCAUCAUUUGCAACAUCAUUUAGGGAAUCAUAACAAGAAUAUGUAAUCCAAUAAUGAAACAAAUUCGAAAAAGCUCAUUCAUGCAUAGGCAAGGAUGCCAGAAGUGCACAACUUGAUAGAGUUUGGUAAAUUAUUGAAAGGGAAAAAACGCAGAGAUUUUGAUAAGAAAUAUGGAAAUGUUUUAAAUCUAAUAGAAGUAAAUGUCCAAGUGGAGGCAAUUACAACAUUGUCUCAGUUUUAUGAUCCUCAAUUCAGAUGUUUCACUUUUAGCGACUUUCAAAUGGUGCCUACUUUAGAAGAGUAUGAACAGAUUCUAGGGUAUUCUUUCAAAAAUAUUAAGCCUUACCACUAUAAGGGACAUUACCCUGCUUCUAAAAUGGUUGCAUCACUUCUGAAAGUUAAACAAGAUAAGUUGGAGAAAUACAUGAAGAGUCCCAAUGGUGUUUAUGGUAUACCGCUAUCAUACCUAAAUGAGCGAUUAGAAUCAUUUCAUGAAGAAGGGGAUUGGGCUGCCUUUGCAGAUGUGUUAGCCCUUGCCAUUUUUGGGAUUGUUUUGUUUCCAAAUAUAGACAACCACAUCGACUUUGCAGCAAUCAAUGUUUUCCUAGCAGUGAGGAACGAACGUCAGAACCCGGUUCCUACUGUGCUUGCAUAGACAUAUUAUACCGUGAAUUGUUGUCAUGAGAUGAAAAAGAAGAGAACAUUAUGUUGCUUGUCUGCACUCUCUGUGUGGCUAAUCACACAUAUAUUUCAUAGUGGGCUUAGAGCAUCAUGUCCUAUUCUUGAUUUCAAGCAGUGCUUUGUGAAACCUAAGAACAAAUUUGAUUGGGGGAGAUAUUUAGGUGAUCUUAGUGAGAAGACAGUUCGAUGGUACCCAAAAUGGCGAGAAGUGGGUACGGUAAUUUAUCAAUGUGGUACUUUUCCAAAUGUGCCUCUCUUGGGAACAAAAGGUUGUAUAUACUACAAUCCUUCUCUAGCAUUAAGACAAUUGUGCUACCCCAUCAUGAACUCGCCAGAAGAAGAUUCGAGUUUGACAGCCUCAUUUAUUGUACAUGGAAUAGACAACAAGGAUAUAGAGGAGCAUAGAAGAGUCAGAAAAGCAUGGAACCAUAUUGGUCACAGAGGGAGAGAACUUGGAAAGAGGAGCACUGACGCCCUCAAUUGAGAAUGAAAUUCCAUAACCUACCCCUUUUACAAAUGAAGAGGUAGGAGAGUUUAAAGCAGAAUUGUUAAAGCUCAAAGAAAAAAAUGAAGAGUUAGAAGAAAAGCUGGAAAAGGUAAUGAUGAAGAGAGAAGGAGGUUUUGGUGGUUUGUGAGGUAAAGAAGAACAAACAGCAUAGAUAGAGAGAUUCAUAUACACUACCCAUUGUUCGAUCUCAAAUCAACGCAUAUACUCGCUAUCUCCAUAACAAGAAUGGAGAUAGCACCUAUUCACAAGGUAAACACCAUCUUUCUGAGCCCUUUCCUUGUGUCGCAAGAUUCUCUAACCCAACCAACUUUCAAGCUUACUACAUACCGAAUUGAUGGAUACAAGAUCAUGAAGGUAAAACUAUAGUAACAACUAAAUAAUAUCCUAAAGUUUCUCGUGUUAUAUUCAAUCAACAGAAAUUUAAAUAAAAUAAUAUCUAUUUAUUCAAGCUAAUGAGUAAUUAGGC
rnacentral:lncRNA from 1 species